UCUUUGCAUAUGUGUGUGUUUAGUGAAUGAUAAUAAAGUUAUACAUUAAUAAAAUAAAAGUAUUUCUAUAGGAAAACACAGGGAAAUAAAUAAAGGUGAUAAAUACUAUCACUUUGUGUCAGGUCAGGGUUCGCUACUAAAUAAGUGCCACUGACUCAAGGGAAAUUUUUGGUUUUGGGGGAUUUUAGAACUUUGGAGUUGUGGCUAAGGGACUGUAAUCAGAAUCCCUGAAGUCUUAAGAGCACAGAACUGGUAAAAGCCACAGUGAUCAAAGAAACAGUCAAUUGAAAAUAAUAUAAUUUGGAAGCUCAGAAGGUCAUAGAUCAUCAGGCAAAAUUAAUUUAAACAAGUUCUAAAUGCAGUCUGCUCACAUUUUAAAUUUGAGAACCAAUUUGUAACAUGGAAAUUUCUUUUUUCUUUCUUUUUUUUUUGGCACCAGGGAUCAAACUUGGGUCCUUGCUCUUGCACAGCAGGUGGUGAAACCACUGAGCUAAAUCCCUGGCCCCUACAUGGAAAUUUCUAACACAUAAUUUAUUGCACUGAUUUAAUUAGUUUCAAUACUAAACUUAGUACCUCAUACCCAGAAAGUAACAUUUUUUUCAACCAUACAUAUUAUAUUUGUAAAAAUUGUUGAGUUUGAUCCCCAGUACCAAAAAAAAAAAAAAAUGGCUAGGGAACGGGACUGUAGCUCUGUGGUAGAAAACUUCCCUGGCAUGCACAAGGCUGUGGGUUCAAUUCCCAGACUCCAAAAACAAAAACAAAAAAAUCAAACAAGUAAUGACCAUAUAAAAGAUCCUAAAGAAAUCCUCAUUUAAUUCUGAAAAAUUGGGCCUAGGAUUUAGCUCAGUGGUUUCGCCGCUUGCUGUGCAAGCACAAGGAGCUGAGUUCAAUCCCCGGUAGCAAAAAACAAAAGAAAACAAAAAAAAGUCAUGUUUGUUUAAAAAAAAAAAAAAAUUCUGAAAAAUAACUUGACCAAGACAACCUCCCUGGAAGGUAAUGGGUUGGGAUCCUAAUCUGCGACUCCACCUCUUUAUUUUUCCCGAUAAUUUAAUAUUCACCGAGGAGUAAAUAGUAAUUUACUUCCAGGUAUUGAUCAGAGAGAUAAUAAGUACUUUAAUUUGGUGUUAAAGACUACAACUGGCUUGAUGCCUAGAGCAGUGUCAAUAUCCAGUAAAAGUUAGGUUGAUGAAGGAGAAAGUGAAUGCAUGACCCCAAAAAGACCCGCCAUAGAACUUUGUAUUUGACGUGCAUUAACUCAAAGGCACACUUUUCUAGAAUGUGCGCAAGACAAGGUUGGUGAAGACAGCUGUUUCUCUACAAAGAAAGCAAGGUGGCCAAACAGCCAUUAGAAGCCAUUAGAGGAAGCAUUAAGAGAAGGAUGUACGUGCUACCAAAUUGCUUUAAAACUUCCCCAGGGUGGCAGGGAUCAACAGGAGACAGAGUCUAGAGAGCGUUCAUGGUCUUCGCUUAUUCUCCCUCAAAACUUUUUAAGCUUCCCCUAUGGUGACCAGGCCCAGAGUAAUGCACAUUUAAUUCAGCUUCUAAUGCAGGGAAAUCAAUAGCGCUGCACAACAGACAGUUUAUUACGCAUCAUCUGAAGUUUAACACAUAAAUAAUAUACACAAACCACAGCACUUAAGAGUUCAAUUUAGGGGCUCAUCUUUUCCCACAAAUCAAAGUAUUUUUUACAUCUUAUUAAAUAUUUCACAUGAUAAAAUAGUUUAAGGAUUUUAUUUUUAAAUCUGGACUGAAAUUGCACGGAAAAUUUCUUUUAAAGUAACAGUGAUGAUCUUUGUUUUGAUGCUUGCAUUGUAUAAAUUGUUCUUACAUCUUGCCUUAAUUUGAUCUUCCUUCUCAAAUUCUUGUGGAUUAGGUAGGAUAAGUAAAUCCAUUUAACAGACAAGGAAACCGAAAGAUGAGAAGAGCCAGACAACAAGCACUGGGAGACUCAGACUUGGGGUCUGAAAUGUUAUCAGUCCCCAGAGGGACCUGGUUCUAUUCAGAGCUGAUGAGGACAGAGAGAUCAUAGCAGUAUGACCCUAAAUUGUGCCCACCACUGGAAUUCAGACAUGUCUAGACUUGGGAUCGAACUCGGCACCUUGUGCUUGAGAGGCAGGAGGCAGAACCACUGAGCCAAAUCCCUGGCCCUUUCUCAGCUUGAACGAUGGCAAAGAUCUUCAAUACUCUGAUUAAAUGUAGUUUUGAAAGUAG